ACCCAACGAGGAGCAAACAUCCUGUCUUAACUCCUGUUCUAGCCCAGAGCCAGUAAUGGUGAACCCACUGGGGCUAACGGGAAGAGAGGAUGAGAACUUGUUCUGUGAGGAAAUGUCUGAGGUAC
rnacentral:snoRNA from 1 species